rnacentral:rRNA from 1 species
GCGGUACAGGAUGGACCCGCGUCUGAUUAGCUAGUUGGUAAGGUAACGGCUUACCAAGGCGACGAUCAGUAGCCGACCUGAGAGGGUGAUCGGCCACAUUGGAACUGAGACACGGUCCAAACUCCUACGGGAGGCAGCAGUGGGGAAUAUUGCACAAUGGGCGAAAGCCUGAUGCAGCAACGCCGCGUGAGCGAUGAAGGCCUUCGGGUCGUAAAGCUCUGUCCUCAAGGAAGAUAAUGACGGUACUUGAGGAGGAAGCCCCGGCUAACUACGUGCCAGCAGCCGCGGUAAUACGUAGGGGGCUAGCGUUAUCCGGAAUUACUGGGCGUAAAGGGUGCGUAGGUGGUUUCUUAAGUCAGAGGUGAAAGGCUACGGCUCAACCGUAGUAAGCCUUUGAAACUGGGAAACUUGAGUGCAGGAGAGGAGAGUGGAAUUCCUAGUGUAGCGGUGAAAUGCGUAGAUAUUAGGAGGAACACCAGUUGCGAAGGCGGC